rnacentral:rRNA from 1 species
AUUGAACGCUGGCGGCAGGCCUAACACAUGCAAGUCGAACGAGUGGCGGACGGGUGAGUAAUGUCUGGGAAACUGCCUGAUGGCGGGGGAUAACUACUCGAAACGGUAGCUAAUACCGCAUACCAUCGGAUGUGCCAAGAUGGGAUUAGCUAGUUGGUGGGGUAACGGCUCACCAAGGCAACGACCCCUAGCUGGUCUGAGAGGAGUACCAGCCACAAUGGAACGUAGACACGGUCCAGACUCCUACGGGAGGCAGCAGUGGGGAAUUUUGCACAAUGGGCGCAAGCCUGAUGCAGCCAUGCCGCGUGUAUGAAGAAGGCCUUCGGGUUGGAAAGUACUUUCAGCGGGGAGGCGUUACCCGCAGAAUAAGCACCGGCUAACUCCGUGCCAGCAGCCGCGGUAAUAC